GACGAACGCUGGCGGCGUGCUUAACACAUGCAAGUCGAACGGAAAGGCCCUGCGUUUGUGGGGUGCUCGAGGGGCGAACGGGGGAGUAACACGUGAGUAACCUGCCCUUGACUUUGGGAUAACUUCAGGAAACUGGGGCUAAUACCGGAUAGGAGCUCCUGCUGCAUGGUGGGGGUUGGAAAGUUUCGGCGGUUGGGGAUGGACUCGCGGCUUAUCAGCUUGUUGGUGGGGUAGUGGCUUCCCAAGGCUUUGAAGGGUAGCCGGCCUGAGAGGGUGACCGGCCCCAUUGGGCCUGCGAUACGGCCCAGACUCCUACGGGGGGCAGCAGUGGGGAAUAUUGCACAAUGGGCGGAAGCCUGAUGCAGCAACGCCGCGUGCGGGAUGACGGCCUUCGGGUUGUAAACCGCUUUCGCCUGUGACGAAGCGUGAGUGACGGUAAUGAGUAAAGAAGCACCGGCUAACUACGUG
rnacentral:rRNA from 1 species